UUCGGAAGAGUGUUGCAGGCAAUAACGGUGGCCUUCCAGCCAAUUCUGGAGGGCUGCAGGUUGCAAAUCUUGAUGCCUUGUCACAACAAACUAGUCGAGCCAUCCCUAACCUCCAAUCAAAAGUUGAGUGGAGGCCUUUUGAAAAAACUCUUCCAUCAAAAGUCCAUUUACGUCAGGCCUGACAAGGUCAUUUUGAGUGAGGAAAACCAAUCUCCAUCUUCUGAGGAAGACAGCCAUGCAGAGAGCCUUGAUUUUGCUCAAAUGUCAGACAGUGACAAAUGUGGUAAAUUAAUUUACAGUAUUUACAGUACAUGCAUCUACAAACAAGUUUAUAUCAUAUUGGUCACAACUCGUUGUGCAGGAUAAUAGGGAUAUAAA